CCAGGAUUACGCCCUGGGCUGAAGGCAGGCGCUUAACUCCUGAGCCACCCGGACGUCCCAGUCUCCCAGUGCCAGACCACCAGCAGGGCAACAAUAUGACCCAGAAUACAGAUGGCUACAGGGACGUUACAAGGCAUUUCAUGGCAGCUAUUCGGGAAGAACGCUGGACAGUCUGAAUAACCGACCCCCUCUCUCCACUUGCAACUCUAAGCGAGUCAAUGAUCCCAUGACUCAGUGAUCUUUCCUCUGCUCCUGAAACAGAACUGGGGAAAUCCUGAUUAAGCUCUCUUGCAGAGCUGCCAGUAAAAAAGAUGAAGCCUCGGGAGACACCUGUGAGCAUCGAGGUUGCUCAUGCAAGAAUGGGGAAGCACUGCUGAUGGGAUGUACCCACUGGGGUAUGAAAACCUUCUGGAAUGAGACAGUGGUGAUGGGUGUAUAACUCUGUGAAUAUACAAAAAAAAAAAAUCACUGAAUGGCACACAUUAAAAGGGCGAAUCUCGUGAGAUGCGACUUAAAUCUCUCAACAGAUCUGCUCUCGACCACAGUGUACCCAUCUCCUAGCUCACAGGGUUGCUGGGAAGAUUAUGCCAGUCUGCAGUGAGCAGUCCCUACACCCCAGCCCUAGGGCUCCAGGAAUCAACACCUAAAUUACUCUGUGCUCCAGGGUUCCUGGGGAAGCAGAGGGCAGGAUACAAAUGGACAACAGUGACGGAUUUCCAGGCAGGAUCUGAGGCUCGAGAUGGUGGAGGAAAAAAAAGACUCUGUACCUUUAUAGGAAAGGAAGAGGACAGGCCAGCACCUUCACACAGAUCGUGCCUCAAUGACUUCUGACUCGUCUUUUCCAGGAUGGACAAUUAACUAUAUAGACUUCAUUCUUCAUCACUGACACCCCUUUCUACAAAUGAAGAUGAGACUUCCCAAGACAACUUUGCUCCAAGCCAAUAAAAGAACCGAGAACAGGGCAGCCCGGGUGACUCAGCGGUUUAGCACCGCCUGCAGCCCAGGGCGUGAUCCUGGGGACCAGGAAUCAAGUCCCACGUCAGGCUCCCUGCAUGGAGCCUGCUUCUCCCUCAGCCUGUGUCUCUGCCUCUCUGUCUCUGUCUCUGUCUCUGUGUGUGUGCCUCUCUCUCUCAUAAAUAGAAAAAUAAAUCUUAAAAGAACCAAGAACAAAAUUAAAAGCUGUGUAAACACUUCCAGCAUUUUCCCUUCCCCGGUUUUCUUCUGGCACACAGGAGGAUUGUGCUCCCCAGCCCUCUUGAUCAGGUGUGAGGGGCACGUGAUUCAUUCUCACCAAUGGGUUAUCAGUAACAGUGAUGCCACCUCCAGGCCGUAGCACUUUCUGAGUGAGACCCUGCAGUGAGUGCCCUGCUGUCCUGUCUCAGUGGCCAAAAAGGUCACAUGUUUAAGUUAGUGCAGUGCUGAGGUGAGGGAGUCUCUGUCAUCUUGAGGGACUGUAGAGAGCAGCCCCUACAAUGUUUGCCACAUCAAUCCACGUAGGACAUGGGAAUGAGCGAGAAAUAUAUUUUUAUUAUACUGAGACUCUGGGAUUUGGCUAUAAGUCUACUGUGACUUAAUAAAAAAGCUUUUAGUC